rnacentral:rRNA from 1 species
CAGCCUUUACCUUUCAUACACCUGUGCACCGUCGGUCUUCGGACCUUUACAAACAAAUAGUAACGAACGUAAAACAUUAUAAUAAAUAAAACUUUUAACAACGGAUCUCUUGGCUCUCGCAUCGAUGAAGAACGCAGCGAAAUGCGAUAAGUAAUGUGAAUUGCAGAAUUCAGUGAAUCAUCGAAUCUUUGAACGCACCUUGCGCCCUUUGGUAUUCCGAAGGGCAUGCCUGUUUGAGUGUCAUGAAUCAUCAAUCCUCGAGGUUUCUCUUGGAUUGGAGUUGGGCGUUGCCGAUCGGCUCGCCUUAAAGAUGUUAGCAGACACGAUGGUGAUGUCGACGUGAUACGUUUCGUCGGACCAGCCAUACGCCCGCUCAUAACCCCACGGCUUCGGCCCACUUUAACUCUGACCUCAAAUCAGGUAGGACUACCCGCUGAACUUAAGCAUAUCAAUAAGCGGAGGA